GGAUAAUAGUUCAGUGGUAGAACGUCGACUGGGCACGCAGAAAGACACGGGUUCAAUCCCUGGCAUCUCCA
rnacentral:tRNA from 1 species